rnacentral:lncRNA from 1 species
CCGGGCUGGACCCGAGACCCCACAGCCGCCCCGAUCUCAGCUGCGUUGGGCACGGGGUGGGGGCAGCUGAACAUGAUUUUCCACUUUGUGUCCCCAAUCAGACCUGCCUGACCAGUGCACGCCCAACCCCUGCGAUAGGAAGGGGACCCAAGCCUGCCAGGACCUCAUGGGCAACUUCUUCUGCCUGUGUAAAGCUGGCUGGGGGGGCCGGCUCUGCGACAAAGAUGUCAACGAAUGCAGCCAGGAGAACGGGGGCUGCCUCCAGAUCUGCCACAACAAGCCGGGCAGCUUCCACUGUUCCUGCCACAGCGGCUUCGAGCUCUCCUCUGAUGGCAGGACCUGCCAAGGUAAGGCCCUGGGGUGAGGCCUCUCUCCUCUCUCCUCUCCCCACCUUCUAUUUUUGGUCAUGUCUGCUCUUCUGCAGGCGGCUGCUGCUGGCUGGGUUCCUGUGGUUCUGGAUGGGAUGGGGCAUCCUGCAGAGACUACACAAGCCCAGGCCAGCCGCAGCACAGGGAGCUGCUCGGCACCGCACCAGGAUGACUCACCCGGC